rnacentral:rRNA from 1 species
UACGAAGGGGGCUAGCGUUGUUCGGAAUCACUGGGCGUAAAGCGCACGUAGGCGGAUCUUUAAGUCAGGGGUGAAAUCCCGAGGCUCAACCUCGGAACUGCCUUUGAUACUGGGGAUCUUAGAGUCCGGGAGAGGUGAGUGGAACUCCGAGUGUAGAGGUGAAAUUCGUAGGUAUUCGGAAGAACACCAGUGGCGAAGGCGGCUCACUGGCCCGGUACUGACGCUCAGGUGCGAAAGCGUGGGGAGCAAACAGG